rnacentral:rRNA from 1 species
UUUAAUUCGAUGAUACGCGAGGAACCUUACCUGGGCUAGAAUGUCACGCGACCGAGGGUGAAAGCUCUUUUCCUAGCAAUAGGCGCGUGAUAAGGUGCUGCAUGGCUGUCGUCAGCUCGUGCCGUGAGGUGUUGGGUUAAGUCCCGCAACGAGCGCAACCCCCAUCACUAGUUGCCAUCAGGUAAUGCUGGGAACUCUAGUGAAACUGCCGUCGCAAGACGUGAGGAAGGAGGGGAUGAUGUCAAGUCAUCAUGGCCUUUAUGCCCAGGGCUACACACGUGCUACAAUGGGGAGGACAAAGGGCUGCCACUUAGUGAUAAGGAGCUAAUCCCAAAAACCUCUUCUCAGUUCAGAUUGGAGUCUGCAACUCGACUCCAUGAAGCUGGAAUCGCUAGUAAUCGUAUAUCAGCAAUGAUA